rnacentral:rRNA from 1 species
GACGAACGCUGGCGGCGUGCUUAACACAUGCAAGUCGAGCGGUAAGGCUCCUUCGGGAGUACACGAGCGGCGAACGGGUGAGUAACACGUGAGCAAUCUGCCCAUCACUUUGGGAUAACUCCGGGAAACCGGUGCUAAUACCGAAUACGACCACUUCAGGCAUCUGACGGUGGUGGAAAGUUCCGGCGGUGAUGGAUGAGCUCGCGGCCUAUCAGCUUGUUGGUGGGGUAAUGGCCUACCAAGGCUUCGACGGGUAGCCGGCCUGAGAGGGUGACCGGCCACACUGGGACUGAGACACGGCCCAGACUCCUACGGGAGGCAGCAGUGGGGAAUAUUGGACAAUGGGCGAAAGCCUGAUCCAGCAACGCCGCGUGAGGGAUGACGGCCUUCGGGUUAUAAACCUCUUUCAGCGCCGACGAAGCGAAAGUGACGGUAGGCGCAGAAGAAGCACCGGCCAACUACGUGCUAGCCGCCGCUGUAAAAC